rnacentral:misc_RNA from 1 species
CUAUUAGCAAAAUUUUGUUCCAAUUUUAUAAAUUCAAAU